UACGUAGGGCGCAAGCGUUGUCCGGAAUUAUUGGGCGUAAAGAGCUCGUAGGCGGCUUGUCACGUCGGGUGUGAAAGCCCGGGGCUUAACCCCGGGUCUGCAUUCGAUACGGGCUAGCUAGAGUGUGGUAGGGGAGAUCGGAAUUCCUGGUGUAGCGGUGAAAUGCGUAGAUAUCUGGAGGAACACCGGUGGCGAAGGCGGCAUCCUGGACCAAUACUGACGCUGAGGAGCGAAAGCCAGGGGAGCAAACGGG
rnacentral:rRNA from 1 species